rnacentral:lncRNA from 1 species
AUAGCCGUUGUUGAUUGCGUCUGAAACUCCGGCCACAACUCCGACCAUGUUCAGUAUUAUCAGAGUUGUGGGAGGGAUUAAGAGAGUUGUCCAUUUGAAGAGAUAAAGUUCACCGAAUUCUGUGUCCUCUGCUGCUUUUGCUGUUACGGUGAAGUUGGUGUCUACUCCAGCUAGGACUUUGAGGAGGCCUUGGAAGACGGCGAAAAGAUGGGCGGAGACACCUCCGAUCACCCAGAAUUGUUCAUUGCGCCACCAGUCUUGGAUGCUAACCCCGCUCCAUCGAAGUUCAAGCACUCCAGUUGCAAUGAUGGAGAGGAAAAGUGCUAAGAACCACACACUUGUAAGGUUGCUUAGCUGCAAGAAAACCACUACUUGUCAAGCUUACAGAAUCAAGCAAAAAAAAACCCGCCCCAUUGCAUUGCCAUCCUUAGCCAAAUUCGUAAAAUAAUGACAGUAAAUACUUACAGUUGGGAUGAUGAAUUUGCCAGUGAGGAGACAAACAGCUGGAAUAGUACAAUAGGCGAGUAAAGGGAUCGAGGUGAAAGGGUAAACAAUGGUGUUGAUAUAAGCAAGCCUCUCGAGCCAUUUCAGUUUUCCGCCAUAACCAUACCAAAGUGGACAGUGACGACUAAGGAAAAUUUCUACAGAACCAAGUGCCCAUCUCAAAACUUGGUGCAACCGAUCCGAG